AGAGGCAGGAUCAGGGAGUAGGGAAAAAAAAAAAUAUCUCUGAGGUGGGGGAGAACCAACAACUUUGAUUUUUUUUUUUUUUUGAAGCUGAAAAUCAAAGUCCUGGGGGUUGGUGUUGAAGGGCUGGAGGCUGGGGAGCAUCUGCAGAGCGCUGCCAGGAGAAGCCCGGGGUCUGUGCACCUUCUUCUGGGAGGAAAGAGCCCAGGAGUUUGUUUAAAACAUCCUGCUAUUAUACAAGCAGCCGGUACAGAGCACUAACAGGGAACUGCAGAUCACAGACGAAAGGCUUUGAGGAACAGGCAGAACGCCCAACAGCGUAAAAACAGCAGGAGCUUUGUCACUUGCCCAAGGCCACACCACCCACAGGCAGCUGGGCCACCUUCUCAUGUUUCGGUCCACGGCUCCUGCCACAAGGUGGGGGAAGAAAAUACCUACAGCCUCAUCUUGUGUUACUGGAAACUGCGUGUGUGAUGUAAGACUGUAUUAUAUUAGAAGCAUACAGCUGCUUGAUAGCACAUAAGCUUGCUUAGGUAAUGGUCUACCACUGAGAUUCUCUGAGCAGAAGGAAGAUAUUUCUCAGAAUCUCCUGAAUCUGAAUGUAGAGCUUGUUUUUAAAAGUAUGAUAGGAUGCCCUUGGGGAACCAAGACCUGCUGCAUGCACAGUAGUGUGGAGUCAGACACAGCCUGCCCUGUCACUACCUAUUUCAGUCAGCCGAAGUUGCCUGUGGGGUUCAAAUGCUGAAGUAGGAGAUGUCUGGCAAGCACACCUAACCGCUGAGCUACCAGCGGUGCUGAACUCCUGCAGCUCCAGCCCUUCAGGCACCAUUGCUGGCAAGUAGGCAGAAGCCUGCCAAAAUCAGGUCUCACCUGCUCACCCUUGAGACUGAACUCCCAAGCCCACUAAAGCAAGGUACUUCUAGAGAGAGAGAAGU